rnacentral:rRNA from 1 species
AUUGAACGCUGGCGGCAUGCUUUACACAUGCAAGUCGAACUGGUGUAGCAAUACACUAGUGGCGAACGGGUGAGUAAUGCAUCGGAACGUACCGUGUAGUGGGGGAUAACCCGGCGAAAGUCGGAUUAAUACCGCAUGAGAUCUACGGAUGAAAGCAGGGGAUCGUAAGACCUUGCGCUAUAUGAGCGGCCGAUGUCGGCUUAGCUAGUUGGUGGGGUAAAGGCCCACCAAGGCGACGAUCCGUAGCGGGUCUGAGAGGAUGAUCAGUCACACUGGAACUGAGACACGGUCCAGACUCCUACGGGAGGCGGAAGUGGGGAAUAUUGGACAAUGGGCGAAAGCCUGAUCCAGCCAUGCCGCGUGUGUGAAGAAGGUCUUCGGAUUGUAAAGCACUUUAAGUCGGGAGGAAGGGCUGUAGGCUAAUACCUUGCAGUUUUGACGUUACCGACAGAAUAAGCACCGGCUAACUUCGUGCCAGCCGCCGCCGUAACAC